rnacentral:rRNA from 1 species
GGGUUUGAUCAUGGCUCAGGAUGAACGCUAGCGGGAGGCUUAACACAUGCAAGUCGAGCGGGAGGGGUAGCAAUACCCCAAGAGCGGCGCACGGGUGCGUAACGCGUAUGCAACCUGCCUUAUACAAAGGGAUAGCCCAUGGAAACGUGGAUUAAUAUCUUAUAGGACUUAUGAAUCGCAUGGUUUAUAAGUUAAAACUACGGUGGUAUAAGAUGGGCAUGCGUCUGAUUAGGUAGUUGGUAGGGUAACGGCCUACCAAGCCGACGAUCAGUAGGGGUUCUGAGAGGAUUACCCCCCACACUGGUACUGAGACACGGACCAGACUCCUACGGGAGGCAGCAGUGAGGAAUAUUGGUCAAUGGGCGAGAGCCUGAACCAGCCAUCCCGCGUGCAGGAUGACGGCCCUAUGGGUUGUAAACUGCUUUUCUGCUCCAAGAAACCUGAUUACGUGUAAUCAGUUGACGGUAGAGUAGGAAUAAGCAUCGGCUAACUCCGUGCCAGCAGCCGCGGUAAUACGGAGGAUGCAAGCGUUAUCCGGAUUCAUUGGGUUUAAAGGGUGCGCAGGUGGGAAUGUAAGUCAGUGGUGAAAUACUGCCGCUUAACGGUAGA